AAAAAAGCCUAAAAGAUCUAAUAUUAACUGAACAAAAAAGUGAACCUUACGGGAAAAAAAAAAUCUAAUAUAUACACUAAUUAAAUUAUCAAAAACGGACUAAACAAAAUUAAAAUUUAAUAAACCAUAUACAAACUAAUCAAUUUGUAAUUACUAAAGAAGGCUGAGGAAAAAACUUGAAGAAGAGCUGAGGAGCUUCAUCUCUAAGUAUCUAGUUUAGAUCUGGAGAGCUCUUGUUCGACCAAGAUAUAGGAUGAAAGAGCAGUGUUCUAGUUUUCCAUUAAGAAAAUUAGUGGCUUGACGAAAUUCCGGUGGUUUUCUGAAUUGACUCGGAGAUGAUACUAGUCGGAGACGAGGAAGAUGGCGAAGAUCUCAAGGGUAGCCGGCUGAGGCAUAUGAGAUUGACCACCGACCAAAAGGACGAAGAGGACGGCUGGGCUCUAGCCUCCGUCUUCGGAUUUAGUGGUGUCGAGGAAAUUUAUGUUGCCCGACGAUACGAACAAAACCAACGAGUAACUGAAUUUCAGAUCGAAAUCUAACAAGUCACUUGGAUAUAUUUUCGGAUGCUUUGGGCUCAAAAAUGUGCUUCCUCAUUCGAUAAAUCAAAUCAACUAGAAAGAGGAAGCAAGCUGGAAAGAAUGUCUAAGAAGGUGGCUGAAUUUUAGAGGGCUUUGGUUUAGAUCGAGUAGAAUUUUUUCUUAUUUGGGGCUAGGGUUUCUAGAGAGAAGGGAGAGCCCCUCUCUCUAGAAACGGACGGAGUACUCCUCCUAAGAACCGUAGUUGGUAGAAGUUUAGACGUACAAGGCCCUUGAUUUAUCGUCCUUCAAUUAUUUCAUGGACAACCCCUUUACCGGUCAACUUCAGACUCCAAGAUAUGGAUAUGUUUCUUCACAAUGAAGCCUCUUUAAACUUUACUUCAUUUAUAGUUACCUACCACUGCCACCAGCACGAAUGCCCAUGUAUAGGAAGAGAUACCUCCGACCAGUCGAUGGAUGGUACCAGUUGUGAUGAUGGGUUGUCAACAUAUAUCGGUGUUGAUUGUGGCUGACCAAGUAGAGUGGUUUGAUAGUGGCUGGAUUUCGUCCAUAAGAUAUACUAUGUGAUCGAGGGGAACAUAUUUGAAAGGCCGGGAAAUACUUAGUGCUUUCGUGCUUGGAUUCCAAUGUGAAUCAAUUUGGUGGAAUCCCACCUUAUACACUGUUAAACUGGACCAAACUGUUUCAAGAUAGCCACAAAUAUAAUCGACUUCAUAGUCCAUACUCUCAAUUGAGAUUGGCAUGAGUGGUUAAGGUCUCUUGCUCCUUAACCAAGGUCUUGGGUUCGAGUCUUGAGAAUAGAAAAAAUCUCAACUAUGAGAGAUGAUGUCCAUCGAGGUACCCAUGCAAAUUAGUCCACUCACCGAAGGCGGUGGAAACUCCUCGCAGUAGAACCAAAAAAGAAAAAAAAAAAAAUCAACUCCAUACUAAUCUAUAUAUCCACACCCAUUCUAUUCUAGCGCGCUACAUAUGUCUCUUAUUUGGAUGUCAUUCUAUUCUAAGCGAUAUAUUUUUAGAAACUUUCAUCUUUUGAUUUCGUUCAUUUGAUUAAAUAAAAUUCUAAAAAAGAAUGUUUUAAAAAAUAAUAACGAAAUUCAUUAAUUUGAAGAAGAAAAAAAUAUAAAAACACAAAUUCAAACCCCCAUUAAUUUCAGAAAUAUACAAGUAAAUUAAAUUUCAAAAAUAUGCAGAAAAAAGAAUUUUAGAAUUACUCUGUAGUAAAUAAUUUUUUUAAAAAAAUCAGAUAAAUAGCCAUUUUAGAUAUAAAUUUCAGUAAAAAAAGAUAAUAUGUAGCUGUUGCACACGAAUUGAGGUCGCGACCAUGGCAUGCCGCACGAGAUCUACGGCACCGGCCAAGGUAGUGCCAUAGAUCUAAUAUGUGGCACCGACCAAGGUGGUGCCACAGAUCUUGUGCGGCCUGCCAUGGUGGCGGCCGCAAUGAGUGCGACAUUGUGACCACACAAAAAAAAAAAAUCAUCACCUCAAGGUUGUUGGAAUGUCGCCGGAUUUUAGGGGUAGGCUGCUGGAGAUGGAAGGGUGAAAGUUGGGGGAGAAAAAUUAAAGGGAGUUGGGUAGAUUUUAUAAGGGUAUAAUCGUCUUUUAUCAUAAAAUAUGCGGAUGAUUUUAGCGUACGCGAACGUCGAAUAAUUAUACAUUUUAUUAAAUCUUAGUCAUUUGUUACCGUCUAUUAAACAGGUGCAAACUUAACUAGUGCAAUAAAUAACUCAUAUGGAUCGGAGUAUGAAAAUAUAAUUCUUUUAGAAACCCAAAUGGUCCUAUAUAUAUUUAGAUUAUUUUCUGCUAUUUUCUCUGUUUCUUAAUAGAUGCAUCAUUUUGAUUUUUCAUAAUACUUGUUUACUAACUUUGACCGGCCUCAAUUAUUGAUAAUGUAAAGGCAAAUUUUGUACUUUUAAUUUUUGAGUUAAUCUCAAUAUAUAUUUUCAAAAUAUUUAAUUUUUUAUAACUUUUAUUAAUAAGUAAUUAAAGAUAUUGAUGGUGCUAAGAAAGACUCUUUUUCUUCGAGCUUGGGUUUGUCAUCCAAGAUGAUAAAGGUGCUCUACUUAUAGCGGGAGCAAAUUAAGGCUCUUCACCAGGAGGUCACCAUUCUUUUUCCUGAAGCUUCGGCUCUUAAGGAAGGGAUAUCAAGAGUGUUAUCACGUUGGGGUGUAAAAACAUCAUCAUAUAGGGAGAUAACUUAGUGGUGAUCAACUCGAUGAAUCAAGUGUUGCAGAUCUCGUGGGAAAUCAUUGGAUUAAUCGAAGAUGCGAGGAGGGACCUAUCUAAUUUUGAUUUUGUUUUGAUCAAUCACUGUUUUUGGAAGCUAAUCAAGCGGCAGAUUUUUUGGAAGGAAUCUCUUGUAUUUCUUUGUCGAUUUGAUUUUCAUCUUUUAGCCCCUCCCUUUCUU